rnacentral:rRNA from 1 species
CACGUAGGGGGCAAGCGUUGUCCGGAUUUAUUGGGCGUAAAGCGCACGUAGGCGGAUCGUUAAGUCGGGGGUGAAAUCCUGGAGCUCAACUCCAGAACUGCCUUCGAUACUGGCGAUCUUGAGUCCGGAAGAGGUGAGUGGAACUCCUAGUGUAGAGGUGGAAUUCGUAGAUAUUAGGAAGAACACCAGUGGCGAAGGCGGCUCACUGGUCCGGUACUGACGCUGAGGUGCGAAAGCGUGGGGAGCAAACAGG